AGUGAACGCUGGCGGCGCGCUUAACACAUGCAAGUCGAACGAGAACGGAAUAUAGCUUGCUAUAUUUGUCAGCUAAGUGGCGCACGGGUGAGUAAUGUAUAGAUAACCUGCCCUUAAGAAAGGAAUAACAGUUGGAAACGACUGCUAAUGCCCUAUAUGCCUUUAAUACAUAAGUAUGCAAGGGAAACGCUUUAUUGCUUAAGGAUGGGUCUGUAUGGUAUCAGCUUGUUGGUGAGGUAAUGGCUCACCAAGGCUAUGACGCAUAACUGGUUUGAGAGGAUGAUCAGUCACACUGGAACUGAGACACGGUCCAGACUCCUACGGGAGGCAGCAGUGGGGAAUAUUGCACAAUGGACGAAAGUCUGAUGCAGCAACGCCGCGUGGAGGAUGACACAUUUCGGUGCGUAAACUCCUUUUAUAUAGGAAGAUAAUGACGGUACUAUAUGAAUAAGCACCGGCUAACUCCGUGCCAGCAGCCGCCGUAA
rnacentral:rRNA from 1 species